GCCGAACAAGAUGGGAAAGAAACAUCAAGACCACUGGUUACUUGUUUUAUCCACUGCUCAUUGGGUUGAACUAGGAAGAACCUAGACUGAACCCUCAUUGACAAAUAAUAGAAAACAUGUCUUCAGAAAGGAAAAAAGCAGCUGUCCCAAAGCAAUAUGAAAGUGGCUCCUCACACAGUCUUCACCCUUCCUAGCCCUGGAAAGGAGAAGCAGGUGCUAUGACUUUGGCAAAAGAGAAGAAUACACUAUGAAUCUUAAUGGGCGAAGACAGAUGGGAACAACCUCACAGUGUUGCCUUCUUACACUUUAUGUGAAAAUUUAUAUGUCUUCGCUGUGGAAAUAAAUUAAUAAUACCACCAGCUAAUUACUCUAUAAAUUAAGAAGUAUUUUCCAAGUAUCUUCGCAGAUCCUGCCAUUGUGGUCACAAAGCCUCUUGAGCUGGGACCAGGACAAGAAGCGGUGAGGCUGAUUAUAUGGGUGAGGAAAUAUUACACAUGGUGAAAACUUUGAAAAGAAGACCCAAAGCCCUUAAAAAUGUUAAAAAAAAAAGACAUUUGAACAUGAAAAAAAUGCAAACUAUGUAUAAAUUAAAAUACCUUAAGAAAAUAUGACAAAGCACAAACAUUCACUGAGAAUGAAAACUUGGUUGGAUGGCACCAGUGAAUGACAGAUAGAAAUGAGUGGCCAGAUUGAGUCUGAAUAAAACUAAAUCUCACUGUGGAGCUCUAGCCAAGAGGCAACUGCUCCUUUGUUUCUGAUCACAUAAGAAGAUGGACUGUCUGGAAAAAGCAAACGACCAUGUCUCUUUUUAAAUCUGAUUGAAGGGCAUCUGGAGUGCACACUGUGUUUGAGCAUCUUUGGAGCUAUUAAUAUUGAUAUUCAUAUUGAUAUGAACAUUGUUCCAUAUAGGAGGAUCUGAGGGCAUCUCAGAAGCAAUUAACACUCAGCACCACUAUGGGCCCAACCCAGUGCCAGGUUAAAGGAAGCCCCUUAGUUGUUGAAAUUAGCAGUGUGGUUUGUUUGGAAGUCUGCCUAAUAGCCCUUCCCCGAGUCUUUCUACUGUUGUUACAAUUUGUUCUCACAAAUAAAACUGCUCCACCACCAG
rnacentral:lncRNA from 1 species